GGGCGGGGGAUGGGGGUAUUGGGAGGACCCGCUGAAGUCUUAUGAACAAGAAAUCGUGUGAUUUCGUGAAAGAAAAAUUUUAACCAUUCCAUUGAUCUUUGAAAGACUGCAAUCUUACUUAACAUGUCAGUUUAAAAAAAAAAAUUACUAAUAUUCCACCUAUGAGAAAUAUUUAAUGUAUAAA